rnacentral:sRNA from 1 species
AAAAGGUACCCGUGAGAGACAGCCAGCAGUUCUGUGGAGCGGCGGUGGCUGGCUAGGAUGGGCUGUCUCUGGGGUCUGGCUCUGCCCCUUUUCUUCUUCUGCUGGGAGGUUGGCGUCUCUGGGAGCUCUGCAGAUUUGAAGAUUGUACCAGGAGAGCCGCAGUGUUCCAGAGCUACCGAGGGACUGGGUCGGGCUUUGCUGUAUUUGAGAAGACCCCCCUGGACCCGAGAGGCUGUGGGCUUGGGGAGCAUGAGGAGGUUUCACAGCAGAAAGGACACCCCGGGGCUACCGGACAAGCCGGAAAAUGUGCCAGGGGAAGUCAGGCUCCAAGGGCACCACUCUGGGCUUCUAGCUGUGUGGGCUGGACCAAGAAGGCUCAGAGAAAUGAUCUCAGGCCUUGAAGUGGGGAGAAGAAACUGUAUUAUGAAGGCAGAUGAACAGUUCCUGCAAAAGCCUCAGCACCCGCAGAGCAGACACUGCGAUAACAACGGAGGACACAGAAGUGCCCGCUAUGACUCCAGCACCAGGCCACGCCGCUCUGGAAACUCAAACGCUGAGCGCUGAGACCUCUUCUAGGGCCUCAACCCCAG